AAAAAAAAAUAAAAAAGAAGAAGAAAAGAAAAGAAAGGAAAUCAUGGAUUUGCUUAUGUCAACCAGCUGAAGUGGUCCUUAAGGCUAGCAGCUCUGGAAGCCCCCUGACUCUCAGCCUGCACUAGUCUACUCCAAAACAGGGCCUGCCAAAGCAGAGAAUGAAACUACUUUUUCUGAGCACAAGCUGAGAACUAUUAACUUAUCUUGGAAGGUGAUGAGAAGGCAUAGAUGGAAGAGGAUACACGUGGGGAGAAGGUUCUCUCUCCGGUUGAGACUGAACUUCGCUGUACAGUCACGAGGCCAAGUGAGCUUAUAUUUCUCUCAGCAGCUUGCCUUACUGAUUCGAGAAACAAGUUGAAGACAUCUAUUCCCAGAUAAAGCAUGUUUGGUUGGAUCCCAAGCUCAGUUGUAUCUUUGAAAGAAGAUGCUUUAACUUCUGCUUCUUCAGAACUUUCACAACUGGUGCAGCAUGGAAGGAAACAAAGUCACAGGUGCUUCAUCGAUGCCAGGUUGUGUGUGUUAGUCUGAAUGAUUCCAAGCGUUUCUCUAGGCCUUUGAAGUGUUCAUAACACACUUAACUUUGAAUUUUCGUUUCUACUUCCCAAGAUGUUAUGCACAAGACAGGGGUAAUGAUCUCUGUUUUAAGAGAAUGUGGAUGGUAGUGUUGGGAAGGAUUGCAGCUAGGAUUCUGUCCCUCCAUUUAGAUUUUUUUAAAAAAUUACAUAUAGAAGCUCAGUUCCUUGAAUGAGGCACUAUUUUUAAGAUAACAUCAUAAUAAAAUAUUUUGGUUAUUUUGUCAGCCCCUGUGCUACGCUCUGACUUAUCAUGUGUCUAGAGCUCUGUUAAGAACUUUAUAUAAAGACCAAUGAAAUAUGUAUUAUUUUUCUUUAUAUAUCGUACAUAUAAUACUUUUUAAGUACAGAUAUUUAUAUAUAAUUACCUUAUGGAUUUGUUGCUAUUCAAUGUGUUUUGACAAUUGCCUAUAAUCAUGUAAUCAUCAUCUCAAAAGACAUGUAGAAUGUUUCCAUUAUUCCAGAGAGUUGCCAUGUGUCCCUUAGCUGUCGGUUUGCACCUCUCAGAAUCCCAGGAGAACUAUUUUUUAUUCUAUUUAUUUUAUUUGAGGGAGAGACAAAGAGGGAGGGAG